rnacentral:rRNA from 1 species
GAUGAACGCUGGCGGCGUGCCUAAUACAUGCAAGUCGAGCGAACAGACGAGGAGCUUGCUCCUCUGACGUUAGCGGCGGACGGGUGAGUAACACGUGGAUAACCUACCUAUAAGACUGGGAUAACUUCGGGAAACCGGAGCUAAUACCGGAUAAUAUAUUGAACCGCAUGGUUCAAUAGUGAAAGACGGUUUUGCUGUCACUUAUAGAUGGAUCCGCGCCGCAUUAGCUAGUUGGUAAGGUAACGGCUUACCAAGGCAACGAUGCGUAGCCGACCUGAGAGGGUGGAUCGGCCACCUGGGAACUGGCAACCGGCCCGGACUCUAAGGGGAGGCAGCGUUGGGGAAGCUUCCGCAUGGGGGGAAAGCCUGCCGGAGCAAGGCGGCUGGGGUGAGGAAGGCUUCCGGUUCGAAAACCCCUUUUAUUGGGGAAGAACAAAUGUGAAAGUAACUAUGCACGCCUGGCGGUAACCAAACAAGAAGGCACGGGUAACCUAGGG